rnacentral:rRNA from 1 species
CCUACGGGAGGCAGCAGUGGGGAAUUUUGGACAAUGGGCGAAAGCCUGAUCCAGCAAUGCCGCGUGUGGGAAGAAGGCCUUCGGGUUGUAAACCACUUUUGUACGGAACGAAACGGCUCGCUUUAAUACAGUGGGCUAAUGACGGUACCGUAAGAAUAAGCACCGGCUAACUACGUGCCAGCAGCCGCGGUAAUACGUAGGGUGCGAGCGUUAAUCGGAAUUACUGGGCGUAAAGCGUGCGCAGGCGGUUAUAUAAGACAGUUGUGAAAUCCCCGGGCUCAACCUGGGAAUUGCAUCUGUGACUGUAUAGCUAGAGUACGGUAGAGGGGGAUGGAAUUCCGCGUGUAGCAGUGAAAUGCGUAGAUAUGCGGAGGAACACCGAUGGCGAAGGCAAUCCCCUGGACCUGUACUGACGCUCAUGCACGAAAGCGUGGGGAGCAAACAGGAUUAGAUACCCUGGUAGUCCACGCCCUAAACGAUGUCAACUGGUUGUUGGGUGNAUUAGUUACUCAGUAACGAAGACGUAACGACGUGAGUUAGUACGAGCCGUGGGGAGGGUACGGGCCGGCGAAGGUUAGUUAAACGUUAACUAAAUUAAGAAGUUAGACGGCGUUGAGAGNGCCGACGGACGACGACGAGGGAGGAGGAG